AUCUUCCACAAUGGGCGAAAGCCUGAUGGAGCAACGCCGCCUGAGUGAAGAAGGUUUUCGGAUCGUAAAUCUCUGUUGUCAGUGAAGAACAAGUACAGUAGUAACUGGCUGUACCUUGACGGUCUCUUAUUAAAGAGCCACGGCUAUCUACGUGCCCGCAGCCGCGGUAAUACGUAGGUGGCAAGCGUUGUCCGGAAUUAUCGGGUGUAAAGCGCGCGCAGGCGGUCUGUUAAGUCUGCUGUGAAAGCCCACGGCUCAACCGUGGAGGGGCAUUGGAAACUGGGGGACUUGAGUGCAGAAGAGGAAAGUGGAAUUCCAAGUGUAGCGGUGAAAUGCGUAGAGGUUUGGAGGAACACCAGUGGCGAAGGCAACUUUCUGAUCUGUAACUGACGCUGAGGCGCGAAAGCGUGGGGAGCAAACA
rnacentral:rRNA from 1 species